rnacentral:ncRNA from 1 species
GUAAAGCGCUGGGGGUGCCGGAAGAGAACUCUUCGGCUGAGAACAUACCCCUGGAACCUGAACCGGAUAGCACCGGCGUAGGGAAGCGUGGAUACGGGCAU